rnacentral:rRNA from 1 species
GUGAGGAAUAUUGCGCAAUGGAGGCAACUCUGACGCAGCCAUGCCGCGUGCAGGAAGAAGGCGCUACGCGUUGUAAACUGCUUUUAACCGGGAAGAAACCCCAGGACGUGUCCUGGGUUGACGGUACCGGAGGAAUAAGCACCGGCUAACUUCGUGCCAGCAGCCGCGGUAAUACGAAGGGUGCAAGCGUUAUCCGGAGUCAUUGGGUUUAAAGGGUGCGUAGGCGGAGCGUUAAGUCAGUGGUGAAAUCCUGCAGCUUAACUGUAGACUUGCCAUUGAUACUGGCGCUCUUGAGUGCGCUUGAAGUGGGCGGAAUGUGCCGUGUAGCGGUGAAAUGCUUAGAUAUGGCACAGAACACCAAUUGCGAAGGCAGCUCACUAAGGCGAUACUGACGCUGAGGCACGAAAGCGUGGGGAUCGAACAGGAUUAGAAACCCGUGUAGUCC